rnacentral:rRNA from 1 species
CCAGACUCCUACGGGAGGCAGCAGUAGGGGAUAUUGCACAAUGGGGGAAACCCUGAUGCAGCGACGCCGCGUGAGUGAAGAAGUAUCUCGGUACGUAAAGCUCUAUCAGCAGGGAAGAAAAUGACGGUACCUGACCAAGAAGCCCCGGCUAACUACGUGCCAGCAGCCGCGGUAAUACGUAGGGGGCAAGCGUUAUCCGGAUUUACUGGGUGUAAAGGGAGCGUAGACGGCAGUGCAAGUCCGGAGUGAAAGCCCGGGGCUCAACCCUGGGACUGCUCUGGAAACUGUAAAGCUGGAGUGCGGGAGGGGCAGGCGGAAUUCCUGGUGUAGCGGUGAAAUGCGUAGAUAUCAGGAGGAACACCGGUGGCGAAGGCGGCCUGCUGGACUGCAACUGACGUUGAGGCCCGAAAGCGUGGGGAGCAAACAGGAUUAGAUACCCGAGUAAG